rnacentral:lncRNA from 1 species
ACACCAAUCUUUCGGAUCGAUCACCAUCCUCGUGAUGAUCCUAUGGUCAGGAGCUGUUUAUGAGUUAGUUAUGUAAAUUCAUGCCUUAAAUUUUUAACUCUUGAAAAUAUGAAUUUACAUUCCCACUAACUCAAAGGAUGUAUCACAGACACAAUGUACACAAUGUGAUAGAAGAAUAACCCUUUUAUUCAUUUAUAGUCAAAAUUACAAAUUUGCCCUUAGAUUUGUAUAGGAAUGUGUCAGCCGAUCUGGCAUCUAGGGC